GGAGAGGUGUCCGAGUGGCUGAAGGUGCCUGACUCGAAAUCAGGUGUGGGGCAACCCACCGGGGGUUCGACUCCCUCCCUCUCCGCCA
rnacentral:tRNA from 1 species